UCCUGAGCCGAGAAUUCUGAAGAUCUCCUCCCUCCCUGAAGCUGUGGGCUGGGCCGUCGGAAAACUUUCAGUUUUGUUUCCUUGCCUGCAAGAAACGAAACUCAACCGAAAGCCUGCAGAGAGCAGAACAUGGAAGGAGACUUCUCGGUGUGCAGGAACUGUAAAAGACAUGUAGUCUCUGCCAACUUCACCCUCCAUGAGGCUUACUGCCUGCGGUUCCUGGUCCUGUGUCCGGAGUGUGAGGAGCCUGUCCCCAAGGAAACCACGGAGGAGCACUGCAAGGUGGAGCACCAGCAGGUGAGGAGGCGGCAGGGAGGAUGGGGUCUGAGAGUCAAGGCGAGUGUUCAGUCCUCCCUGCAGGAGAGAUGGGGUCUGAGAGGUGGGGGAUGAGGGUCUAGUCCUCCCUGCAGGUGAGAUGGGGUCUGGGAGUCAAGGUGAGUGUUCAGUCCUCCCUGCAGGUGAAAUGGGGUCUGGGAGGGGCAAGUGUUCCAUCUUCCCUGCAGGAGAGAUGGGGUCUGGGAGUCACGGAGUGGGUCCAGUCCUCCCUGCAGGAGAGAUGGGGUCUGGGAGUCACGGAGUGGGUUCAGUCCUCCCUGCAGUUGAAAUGGGGUCUGGGAGGGGCAAGUGUUCCAUCUUCCCUGCAGGAGAGAUGGGGUCUGGGAGUCACGGAGUGGGUCCAGUCCUCCCUGCAGGAGAGAUGGGGUCUGGGAGUCACGGAGUGGGUCCAGUCCUCCCUGCAGGAGAGAGGGGGUCUGGGAGUCACAGAGUGGGUCCAGUCCUCCCUGCAGGAGAGAUGGGGUCUGGGAGUCACAGAGUGGGUCCAGUCCUCCCUGCAAGAGAGAUGGGGUCUGGGAGUCACAGAGUGGGUCCAGUCCUCCCUGCAGGAGAGAUGGGAUCUGGGAGUCACAGAGUGGGUCCAGUCCUCCCUGCAGGAGAGAUGGGGUCUGAGAGUUGGGGGACGAGGGUCCAGUCCUCCCUGCAGGUGAGAUGGGGUCUGGGAGGGGCAAGUGUUCCAUCCUCCCUGCAAGAAAGAAGGGGUCUGGGAGUCAGGGAAUGGGUCCAGUCCUCCCUGCAGGAGAGAUGGGGUCCGGGAGUUGGGGUGAGGGCUGGGGACUUAAGGCAAGGGUCCAGUUCCCCAGGCAGAGACUCACUUGAGGGCCAUGGGAAGUCAUUUAUCCCCUCCACACGAAGCCCCAUGGAAAGGAAAUGUUAAUCCUGCCUUUUUCAUGCUAAUCUGAGUCUACCUCCAAUUUUCCCAUUUCCAAUCCUUUCCCUACAGGCUUAUGGAUCUGGCAUAGGCAAGAGGUUCUGGUUUCAGGAAAGACUGGCUGUUCUCUUGAGAUCUGUAAAGAGAGGAUGUGAAAAAGGAAGGUCCUGGAAGGCAGUCAGAUGGAGCCCUGUUUCCCGCCUUUCCAUGUCCAUUCCUCCUGGGGCCCCUGAUCUGUCUCUCUGGAGAUACUCAAGCUCAGGCAGCCGUUGCCAACUCAGACUGGUCUGAGAAACACUUCUUGAACACUGGGCUGGGUGCUAGAGAGACACUGAGGUAGCCACAUCGGAUCCCUGCCCUCUGGGAGUUCACAGACCCAAACCCGGAACACCGUGAGCCAAAGUGGAUGUAGGGCAGGCUCUGGGUGUUGGGUGGACCCACAUCUGGUGUGUGUGUGUGUGUGUGUGUGUGUGUGUGUUUAGGUUGGGUGUACGAUGUGUCAGCAGAGCAUGCAGAAGUCCUCGCUGGAGUUUCAUAAGGUAAGAGCCCCAUGUGAUUUCUCCUUUACAGCCAAAUAGACCAACCUGAGAAAAGGAGAGGAAGGGGAAACGGGAGGCCAGUAAUAGAGAUUUCCACCUGACCACUCUUUUCACCCCAUUAGGCUUGGAGAGCAGUGGAGAACUAGCCCACCGCAUAACACAGGUCCUCCUGUCCCCCAGAUACUGGUCAGAAGGGUUUUCCAUGGUCCAUGAGUCCAUCAGAGCUCAGAUUCCCCGAAGGCAAUCCCGCAUUCUGGCCCUUCUCAUCUGCUUUCUCGUAUUGGCCCUAAUUCCCUAGGGAGAUGGGCACAAGUCCUUGAUCUGCCUACAGUCAAAGAGGCCAGUGAUCGGCCAGGCGCA
rnacentral:lncRNA from 1 species